rnacentral:rRNA from 1 species
CCUACGGGUGUCAGCAGUGAGGAAUAUUGGUCAAUGGCCGCAGGGCUGAACCAGCCACGUCGCGUGAGGGAUGACGGUCCUAUGGUUUGUAACCUUCUUUUGACAGGGCAUAGCGGUAGCCGGUACCUGUUGAUUAAGCCUCGGCUAACUACGUGCCAGCAGCCGCGGUAAUACGUAGGGGGCAAGCGUUUUCCGGAUUUACUGGGUGUAAAGGGCGUGUAGGCGGGCUGGCAAGUCAGAUGUGAAAUCCGGGGGCUCAACCCCAGAACUGCAUUUGAAACUGUUGGUCUUGAGAAUAGGAGAGGCAGGCGGAAUUCCUAGUGUAGCGGUGAAAUGCGUAGAUAUUAGGAGGAACACCAGUGGCGAAGGCAGCCUGCUGGACGACAACUGACGGUGAGGCGCGAAAGCGUGGGGAGCAAACAGGAUUAGAUACCCGGGUAGUC